AGUUUGAUCCUGGCUCAGAUUGAACGCUGGCGGCAUGCCUUACACAUGCAAGUCGAACGGUAACGGGUCCUUCGGGAUGCCGACGAGUGGCGAACGGGUGAGUAAUAUAUCGGAACGUGCCCAGUAGUGGGGGAUAACUGCUCGAAAGAGCAGCUAAUACCGCAUACGACCUGAGGGUGAAAGGGGGGGAUCGCAAGACCUCUCGCUAUUGGAGCGGCCGAUAUCAGAUUAGCUAGUUGGUGGGGUAAAGGCCUACCAAGGCAACGAUCUGUAGUUGGUCUGAGAGGACGACCAGCCACACUGGGACUGAGACACGGCCCAGACUCCUACGGGAGGCAGCAGUGGGGAAUUUUGGACAAUGGGCGCAGGCCUGAUCCAGCAAUGCCGCGUGCAGGAAGAAGGCCUUCGGGUUGUAAACUGCUUUUGUCAGGGAAGAAAUCUUCUGGGCUAAUACCCCGGGAGGAUGACGGUACCUGAAGAAUAAGCACCGGCUAACUACGUGCCAGCAGCCGCGGUAAUACGUAGGGUGCGAGCGUUAAUCGGAAUUACUGGGCGUAAAGCGUGCGCAGGCGGCUUUGCAAGACAGAUGUGAAAUCCCCGGGCUCAACCUGGGAACUGCAUUUGUGACUGCAAGGCUAGAGUACGGCAGAGGGGGAUGGAAUUCCGCGUGUAGCAGUGAAAUGCGUAGAUAUGCGGAGGAACACCAAUGGCGAAGGCAAUCCCCUGGGCCUGUACUGACGCUCAUGCA
rnacentral:rRNA from 1 species